AUAGGCUCGUAUGUGGCGCCCGGCCCAGAAAGGUACAAUAACUGUAUAUUUUAACUUAAUGGUUUUUUGGGGGGCAUGCAAAUUUCAGUGAGCAGAUUGCACCGAGGCCCGGGCUUGGAGCGGCCUCCCUGGGCCCGGCGGCCCUUUCCCCAGAAGCCCCUGAGCACCCCCCGGCUCGGUGAAGGUUGCCCGUGUCAAAAUCGAGAUAUCAAACACCAAGUGUAAAAAGACAAGGUGAAAAACCCUGCCAGAAGCAUUCUGUGGCAGAGAUUAAAACAAUUUCAGAAGCAGGCACCCAAUCCUUCUCUUUGGAUGG
rnacentral:lncRNA from 10 species